rnacentral:rRNA from 1 species
UGGGGAAUUUUGGACAAUGGGCGAAGCCUGAUCCAGCAAUGCCGCGUGUGUGAAGAAGGCCUUCGGGUUGUAAAGCACUUUUGUCCGGAAAGAAAUCCUUGGCUCUAAUACAGUCGGGGGAUGACGGUACCGGAAGAAUAAGCACCGGCUAACUACGUGCCAGCAGCCGCGGUAAUACGUAGGGUGCAAGCGUUAAUCGGAAUUACUGGGCGUAAAGCGUGCGCAGGCGGUUUGCUAAGACCGAUGUGAAAUCCCGGGCUCAACCUGGGAACUGCAUUGGUGACUGGCAGGCUAGAGUAUGGCAGAGGGGGGUAGAAUUCCACGUGUAGCAGUGAAAUGCGUAGAGAUGUGGAGGAAUACCGAUGGCGAAGGCAGCCCCCUGGGCCAAUACUGACGCUCAUGCACGAAAGCGUGGGGAGCAAACAGGAUUAGAUACCCUGGUAGUCCACGCCCUAAACGAUGUCAACUAGUUG